GCCGGCGACCCACCGGAGGGCCUCAGGGCGGUGACGUCACUUCCGUCGCUCAAGCGCCGCGAGAUCUACCUACCUGGACCCGGCUACUGUUUCCAUGGAACCGGUUCUGCGGAUGCCCGCGCCGGAAAGCAGAUUUACUACAUCAGAAACUCUGAGGGUGGUGCCCUGCCGUCUGAGUUUAACAAGUCCUACAGGGAACCUUGAUGCGCACUGAAGUCAGAAGGCCUGGAUGCGGCAAAGAGGAGCCAAAAAUAAAAUCACACUGAUUUCAGUACCGCUAAGAGACAUCCCACCCUUCUUUCUUCCUCUCAAGAGUGAAAAUGACUGAAAGAGACAUGGUUACAGGGAUAACCUUGAAUAUAUUUUCCCUUUUUCUUUAAAAGCUAGUCAUGUAUAAAACCCGGCAAUUACAUAAGACACACCAUACAACAAACAGCCACAGGAGUGAGUGGAGAUGCCACAUUCAAUCAUCUGUUUUCUCAUUAAAAAAAAAAAAAUUAUUAUUUA